AGAUGAGGAAGGGCGUAGUAAGCGACGAAAUGCUUUGGGGAGUUGAAAAUAAGCGUAGAUUCGGGGAUUCCCGAUAUAGGUAAACCUUUCGAAUUGCUGUUGAAUCCUCGGGUAGGCAAGAGACAAACUGGUGAACUGAAACAUCUUAGUAGCCAGAGGAAAAGAAAGCAAAAGCAAUUCCCGUAGUAGUGGCGAGCGAAAUGGGAGUAGCCUAAACCGUGAAAACGGGUCCUAGCCGUAAACGAUGGAUACUA
rnacentral:ncRNA from 1 species